GACGAACAACUGGUUGCCCUGCCUAAUACCUGAUCGGAGAACGCUGAAGACAGCAACUUGCUCUUCUUGAAUGACUUACCCACGGCCGAACAACGCGCAGGUAACCUGCCUUGUCUCGGGGGAUAACUAUUGCAAACGAUAGCUCAUACCGCAGAACCAUGGAUGACACCUGGCAUUUAUUUGAAAGGAGCAAUUGCUCCCCUACCCGACGGACCUGCAUUGGAUCACCUAGGAUGCGAGGGAACCGCCUCCCUAGGCGACGAGACAUAUCCGACCUGAGAGGGUGCAUCGGCCACACUGUGAACUGAGACUCUGACCACACUCCUAGAGGAGGACGCUGCACGGAAUCUGCAGCAACGGGGGCGAACCCUUACCUAUCUACGGCCGAGCGAGUGAAUAACGUACCCGGAUCAGGAAGCUCUGGUGGCAGCCAAGAACUACUGAUACAGCGCAAAGUGCGCACUGCCACGGCAACUUACCAGAGAGGGACCGCUGACUACGUGCUCCCCACCGCGGGAACACAUAGCUCCCGAUCCUGGUCCGAAUGUAUAGACCGUACCCACAGCUCACGCCCAUUGAUAACUCUGAGGACUACCGCUGUGGCUCAACCAUAGUUUGCUUUGGAAACUGUCAAACUUGAGUGCAGAAGUGGAGAGUGGAAUUUCAUGUGUAGCGGUGAAAUGCGUAGAUAUAUGGAGGAACACUGGUGGCGAAAGCGGCUCUCUGGUCUGUAACUGACGUUGAGGCUCGAAAGCGUGGGGGGCGAACAGGAUUAGAUACCCUGGUAGUCCACGCCGUAAACGAUGAGUGCUAGGUGUUGCAUCCUUUCCGAGAUUCAGUGCCGCAGCUAAUCGCAUUAAGCACUCCGCCUGGGGAGUACGACCGCAAGGUUGAAACUCAAAGGAAUGGACGGGGGUUCGCACAAGCGGUGGAGCAUGUGGUUUAAUUUGAAGCAACGCGAAGAGACCUUACCAGGUCUAGACAUUCCGUUGCUAUUUCUAGAGAUAGAAAGUUAGUUCGGUACAUCGGUGACAGGUGGUGCAUGGUUGUCGUCAGCUCGUGUCGUGAGAUGUUGGGUUAAGUCCCGCAACGAGCGCAACCCCUAUUGUUAUGUUGCCAUCAUUCAGUUGGGCAGUCCAUUGAGCCUCCCGGCAAUAAACAGGAGGAAGGUGGGGAUGACGUCAAAUCAUCAUGCCCCUUAUGACUUGGCAUACACAUGUGAUACAAUAGUGUAUGGUACAAUGAGUCUGGGAGUAUGUGACGGCAAGGUAAUGUUUUAAAACCAAUUUCAGUUCGGAUUGUAGGUUGCAACUCCCCCACAAGA
rnacentral:rRNA from 1 species